GCUUCUGUAGUUUAAUGGAUAGAACAUGGGCCUCCGAAGCUCAAGAUACAGGUUCGAUUCCUGUCAGAAGCACCA
rnacentral:tRNA from 1 species